AAUCAGAAUCGUCAUAUUCAACUUCAGUUUUCCUUUUUAACGAUUGCUCCAGUGUGUUGAUGAAAUCAUUUAGUUUGUUCAACGCGACUUGCCCAUAUGAUAGCUCAUCUUCGUUAACUCCAACUUGGAUAAUAUCUAAAAGUAUGUACAGGAAAAUUAGUGUAAAUGAUUAAAUAUAGCAGUUUUAAAACGACAUGAAGCAAGACAAGGAAAAAGAAGAAGAUUUACCUGAAGAAGUUUAUCAAGCAGUAUGAAUAUUCGUUUAAAAACGAUACCAAGUUCUAUAGGCAACAUAUAAAAAAUAUAAAUUAGCAAAUAAAGCACAAAAUCAUAUUUGCACAUGAAAAUAAAUGCUCGAACGUAUGUCAAAA